CCCCAAUUUCCGGUUCCGGCAGUACCCGGAGUCCUGCCGAGAUGGAGGAAGAUGCGACCCGAGGCCGGCAGUCUCUGGGAGCAGAGGAUAGAGUGGGAGCUGCGGCCUAGAGGUCUGGGCUUGGAGUUCGCCUCAGACGCGGCGGGACCGCCCUGAUCUGAGAAGGUGAGAAACCACUGGUUUGGGGUGCCUGAGGACUAAGGUCUCCGAGGACCUGGACCUGUCAAGGAGGCGACGGGUGUCUGCAGUGUCCCGCUGCAGUUCCGCGGGAGCCCGCCACGCAGUUGUGGGGAUGAAGGACGACUGUAACGAGGCAUCUCUUCCUGGCGGAGGCGCAGGAGGUUCGCUGAAGCAUGGCGAUUGGCAUGACCGAGGACCCAGAGGCUGUGCGGGGCAGGACAGACGCUGUAUGAAGGGGGUGUCCUGUGGAGUAGGUGGAGAGGAUUGUCAUGUGGUGCCUGUGAUGAGGCGUCACGUGGGUCCCUACUGAGCACUAGAGCAAGGCUGGUUGGGAAUUUCACCGAAUCCCAGAGGGGAGGUAUCCCCAGGGACCUCCCCUAAGGAAAUGCAUGUUCAUUAGACAGAUGGGCAAGCGUCUAAAUGUAUUCACAAUCGUGUAGGUAGCUCCAGAAUGCAGAGCGCUGCUGCACAUGUCCUAGGGAGAACAGAGGAACAGGAGGAGGAAGCAAAGAUCUCGUCCGCAGCUGAGAAAUCGGGCCCAAUCCCCAGGGGUGUCUUGUUGGGAGUUACAGAAGGUGACUUAGUUUGGUAGGGGUGGUUGAGUGAUCUGCACGAGUCCAGUCGUCAUCCCUGGGCCCAGUACUGGUGACCAGUCAGGGUGGAGUCAGGGCUCCUAACCCAGUCAUAACGGUCCUGGACUUUCAGGGAGGUGGUUAUCAUUGUUACAAUGCUGACCGUCCUUCAUAUUUAAAGCAGUGCUUCCUACACUGAUACACAUGUUAAUUGCUCCGGAUCUUGUUAAACUGUUGGCUCGAAUUCAGCAGAUGAGCGUGCGUUUUGAAAUUCUGCAUUUCUCACCCAUGCUGCCGGUCUGUGCAGCAGGCUGAGUAGCGAGGAUGCAGAGCAGCUCUGUGCAGGAGAGCUUGCUGCAGUGCCGGCUGUCUGCUGCUGACAAGGGCUUCCACACACAUUAGCUCACAUGAGUUGCACCACACUAGUCUACAGUCGUGCACUGCAUAACGUUUCUGUCAACAAUGGACCGCAUGUAUAACAGUGCUCCCAUAAGACUAGACAGACCUACGCGCUGCCCGUUGUAUAAAGUACAGCACACACAGUCAUGUACAGCACGUAAUACUUGGUAAUGAACGAGUGUUACUGGUUUAUGUGUUUACUACACUAUACUUUUUAAUCAUUUUAGACUGUACUCUUUCUACUUAUAGAAAAGAAAGUUUGCAGAAACCGUGUGCUGUGUCACGCCAGCAGCAGCCUCACACAUCGCGUGUUGUUUUGUAAAUGUAGUGUAGCUUGUGUGCCGUGUGUGUACAGUCUGCAGUAGUUACAGUAGGCCUAGGCCGUCACACCCACUCCCCACGCCCUCACUGACCCCCAGAGCAGCUUCCGGUCCUGCAGGUUCCAUCUGUGGGGAGUGCCCUGUCCAGGUGUGCCGUUGUUCUCUUUUAUAACGUAGUUUUACUACGUACGGCAAUGGCUUAGAUACACAACUACUCACCAUUGUGUUCCGAUUGCCUACAGUGUUAGUACAGUGACCUGCUGUACAGGCUUGUAGCCCGGGAGCAAUAGGCCACACCGCAGGCUGGCCUGGGUGUGGAGCAGGUUACGCCACGUGGGUGUGUGUGAGGGCCUCUGAUGUUCACAUGGUGACAAAAGCACGGUGACAAAAGCGCCCAAUGACACAUUUCUCAGAAUGUAUCCUUCUCGUUAAGGGGUGUGUGACUAGAGCUGUAGCAGGCUUGAUUAGCCCCAUCUCACAGAUGAGGAAACAAUUUCACUGAAGUGACUCGGUUCCAGUCAGACCAGUAAGUGAUGGAACUGGAGCUCAAACCUGAGUGUCCUGAUUACUAGUGUUCCUUCCACUGCAUGACCUUGCCUUCGAGGUGACACUGCCUUGUCACUGCCUUGAACCAGAAUCUUAUCUCAGAACCCGGUAAAUAGUCUAGUGUGACUUUUCUGGUACAAAGUGGAAGAAGAGCGGCGGUGUCCCGGGCCCACCGCUUGUGUCCCUUUGCACGUGUGGGCUUGGUAGUGGGGGUUCUGCCUCUGACAUCCCAUUUGAUGACCUGAGGCCAUCGUAGGUCAUGUCGGGCCCCCAUAAGCAGCACUUCAGCCUUUGUACCCCAGCAGUGUUAAAAGAUGGGGGCAGCUCAGAACUGCAGCCGGGCAUACAAACGGGGGUCUGGGAAGAGCCGUGAUGAGGUGGGCUGAUCGAGUUGGGAGAAGGGCAGGCUAGAGGAAGUCUGCAACACGUGUCUGCAAGGAGGGCUUUCCAGAAGGUCAGACAGGAGCUGGCGGUGAUAGUUCAGCAGGAGUGUUGGGGGUCACGUAACAACAAAGAGCAGGUUGAGAUCCCACCUUCCAGGAGCAGCCCCAGCUUUUGAAGGGGUAGUGGGGGGUGGAUGCAAUGCCCUCUUCUCCUUCACUAGAGGCUUAUCCCUCCAAGGCAUGCCCCUUAGUGGCUUCUCCUGUCACCAUGGCAAUGGCGGGAGAUCCCUGCCCCAGCCUUGGAGAGUCCCCCCUUACUUCUGGGAAUUUAAAAUAAGAUUGGCACAUGUCAGAGACGGAGCAAAGUGGCCACUGGCUCCUGCCUUAGGAUUUCUCAUCAGGAGAUGUCGGUGCUUCAUGAUUCAGCUUGACAAGUUGAGGUGGGUCCCCGAAACCGGUCCUGGAACAGAGCCCUUUGUUCUGUCUCUGCACACUGCUUAGCACACGGUUUGCAUGCGCCCUGCAGGAGGCCGUCCUGCCGGGCCCGUGGUAUUUGUCUUGUGCAACAGUGUGACUGCCCAGCCGCUCAGCUCGCUCACUCCACAAGCACAGAGAAAGCAGAGGCAGCUCUUGAUGUUUCUGGGACAAAGCUGAGAGAACUCCCUGGGCAUCGGAGGGGCCAGGAGCUUGUGUUUACCCCUGGCAUGCAUUCUGCCUCCCGUGUGGGAACGGCAGCUUUAGUGUGAGCAGUGACCCGUGCUGGAGCUGCCCAACUCCCAGGGUAGAAGGUGGAGUAGAGAAUUCUUGGCUCCGAUCCUGCCUCCACCACUGACCAGCUGCGUGACCUUGGGCCUGUUCCUGUUAAUGUCUCUGACCCUCUAUUUCCUCGUUUAGCAGAAGUGUCUAACUACACAGGUUAAGUGUGAGGAUCACAGGAGGUAAUAGGUACGUGCUCAGUAAGUCCUAGUCUUGCUGCAUCUCAGAUGUAACUGGAUGACAGUCACCGAGGACAGGGGAGACAGUGACCACUUGCUCUUGAAGGGCCUUAAAGGACAGAUUGCCCCACUGGACUUGGUGGAUGGCCCAGGCUGAGGCUGGGGAGGAAGGGCCACCUCUGCCCACAGCAAGUGGAAACAGACUGAGUUUCUCGAAGGCAGAGUGGGUCCUCUCUGUUAGGUGACUCUCCCUUCCGUAUGUGGGACUGAGGUUAUGAUUUAUGUCCUUAGGGAUGAAAGGGACCAACAUGUUCUCUACCCUGUAGUUCUCAAGACCCAUCAGGUGGCUCUUUCCUUUCUAGAGUGAGUUAUCUAAUAACCAAAGAGGACUCUGACCUUUGCCUCAUUCCUAAUGUUCUAACUCCUUUCAUUGGAGGGAGGGGAGGUGUAUGUGUGUGUGCGUGCGCGCAUGCGUGCCCCCCGUGGUGUGAAAGCCCCCCUUAAUUUCUUCCCCACACUUUCUCCUGAAGCGGACUGGAGAAAAUGUAAGCGGGGUGCGUGUGGGCUGGGGGGCUCAGAGGGGCCAGCUGGAAACCGCAAGUCAAGUCAGGCGAGUCAGCUGGGAAGGUGAGGAGGGUGCAGGGCCACAGGCAGGGCCUCCGUUGGCCUGGAGCCUCACACGUGGAGCGCUUCCUCCUAGAUGUCACUGGUGACACCCCCUCAGCCUGCUGACCGGCCUCGCAUCCUGCCAGGUAGUCGGUCUGUCCGCAGUACCCUGCGCGCUGCCUGGCGGGGGCCAUGACGCCAGGAGCCGGGCAGAGGCCGACACCGCAAUGAUGGGGAAGGGAGCCGAGGCGCCAGUGGGGGCCGGGGAGUCACAGGGCGCCGGCGCCAUGGAGGACAAGCGCAACAUCCAGAUCAUCGAGUGGGAGCAUCUGGACAAGCGCAAGUUCUACGUGCUGGGCGUGGCCAUGACCAUGGCCAUCCGCGUCAGCGUGUACCCCUUCACCCUCAUCCGCACGCGGCUGCAGGUGCAGAAGGGCCGCAGCCUGUACCAGGGCACCGCGGACGCCUUCGUCAAGAUCCUGCGCGCCGACGGCGUGGCCGGCCUCUACCGGGGCUUCCUCGUCAACACCUUCACGCUCAUCUCGGGCCAGUGCUACGUCACCACGUACGAGCUCACCCGGAAGUUCGUGGCCGAGUACAGCCAGAGCAACACGGUCAAGUCGCUGGUGGCCGGGGGCUCGGCCUCCCUGGUGGCCCAGAGCAUCACGGUGCCCAUCGACGUGGUGUCACAGCACCUCAUGAUGCAGCGCCAGGGCGAGAGCGCGGGCCGCUUCCAAGUGCGGGGCAGCGCCCAGGGACACGGCGUGAUCGCCUUCGGCCAAACCAAGGACAUCAUCAGGCAGAUCCUGCGGGCCGACGGGCUCCGGGGCUUCUACCGAGGCUACGUGGCUUCCCUGCUCACUUACAUCCCCAACAGCGCCGUCUGGUGGCCCUUCUACCACUUCUACGCAGCUCUCGUGCCUCUGCCCUAAGGAGUGUCCUCACAUUGUCUUUCAAGCCAUCUCAGGCCCCCUGGCUGCCGCCACUGCUUCCAUCCUCACCAAUCCCAUGGACGUCAUCCGAACCCGAGUGCAGGUCGAGGGCAAGAACUCCAUCAUCCUGACCUUCCGACAGCUCAUGGCAGAAGAGGGGCCCUGGGGCCUCAUGAAGGGCCUCUCAGCCAGAAUCAUCUCAGCCACGCCCUCCACCAUUGUCAUUGUGGUGGGCUACG